rnacentral:rRNA from 1 species
UACGAAGGGGGCUAGCGUUGCUCGGAAUCACUGGGCGUAAAGGGUGCGUAGGCGGGUUUUUAAGUCAGAGGUGAAAUCCUGGAGCUCAACUCCAGAACUGCCUUUGAUACUGAAAGUCUUGAGUAUGGGAGAGGUGAGUGGAACUGCGAGUGUAGAGGUGAAAUUCGUAGAUAUUCGCAAGAACACCAGUGGCGAAGGCGGCUCACUGGCCCAUAACUGACGCUGAGGCACGAAAGCGUGGGGAGCAAACGGG